rnacentral:rRNA from 1 species
AACGUAGGUGGCAAGCGUUAUCCGGAAUUACUGGGCGUAAAGGGUGCGUAGGCGGACAGGUAAGUCAGUGGUGAAAUCUCUGGGCUUAACCCAGAAACUGCCGUUGAUACUAUUUGUCUUGAAUAUCCUGGAGGUAGGCGGAAUAUGUCAUGUAGCGGUAAAAUGCUUAGAUAUGACAUAGAACACCGAUAGCGAAGGCAGCUUACUACAGGAUGAUUGACGCUGAGGCACGAAAGCGUGGGGAGCAAACAGG